UACGAGCGGCCCAAACGUUAUUCGGAUUUACUGGGCGUAAAGGGCGCGUAGGCGGCGUGGUAAGUCACUUGUGAAAUCUCUGAGCUUAACUCAGAACGGCCAAGUGAUACUGCUGUGCUAGAGUGCAGAAGGGGCAAUCGGAAUUCUUGGUGUAGCGGUGAAAUGCGUAGAUAUCAAGAGGAACACCUGAGGUGAAGACGGGUUGCUGGGCUGACACUGACGCUGAGGCGCGAAAGCCAGGGGAGCAAACGGG
rnacentral:rRNA from 1 species